rnacentral:rRNA from 1 species
UACGUAGGGGGCAAGCGUUGUCCGGAAUCAUUGGGCGUAAAGAGCGCGUAGGCGGCCCUGUAAGUCCGCUGUGAAAGUCAAGGGCUCAACCCUUGGAUGCCGGUGGAUACUGCAGGGCUAGAGUCCGGAAGAGGCGAGUGGAAUUCCUGGUGUAGCGGUGAAAUGCGCAGAUAUCAGGAAGAACACCAAUGGCGAAGGCAGCUCUCUGGGACGGUACUGACACUGAAACGCGAAAGCGUGGGGAGCGAACAGG